rnacentral:rRNA from 1 species
UACGGAGGGUGCAAGCGUUAUCCGGAUUUACUGGGUUUAAAGGGUGCGUAGGCGGCUUCUUAAGUCAGUGGUGAAAUCCUAGUGCUUAACACUAGAACGGCCGCUGAUACUGGGAAGCUUGAGUCAAGGAGAGGUAAGCAGAAUUUAUGGUGUAGCAGUGAAAUGCUUAGAUACCAUAAGGAAUACCAAUAGCGAAGGCAGCUUACUGGCCUUGUACUGACGCUGAGGCACGAAAGCGUGGGGAGCAAACAGG